rnacentral:tRNA from 2 species
GGGGCUGUCGGCUAGCCUGGUCUAGGCUGCCAGCCUUGGGCGCUGGCGAUCGCCGGUUCAAAUCCGGCCAGCCCCA